AAAAAAUUAAAUUAGACAUAGAAAAAGAUUGAUUAUCAAUUAAUUGAACUUGAAAAACUCAAAAAAAAAUUGGGCAUGCCGGAAAAAAGUGUACCAUAUGUCGGUACGGUACCGAACCGGUACCGUAUCGACCCAUCCACCGACUGGUUCAGGUUCUAGUAUUGAUUUGACGAAUCUUGCUUUAAACCUUAUAAUAUUUCAUAAAUCAGAAGGCAGUUUAUCUCCAUUAUCAUUAAAAUAUAGAAAAAAAUAUUUGAGGACUUGUGGCUUAUGUACAUUGUCAUUAAGAAUAUUGGUAAAUUAUCUGACAAUUUGGUAUCACCAUUGGUUCUCAUCCGGCAUAUAUUAGAUGGUUUGGGGGAAACACUUGAGAACAUAUAGAAGCCCAUAAAUUUGGUUCAACAUGCAUAGGGCUUGAAGAAAUAAAUCACUGUUGCAUUUUAAGACAUAAAAGUCAAUGCUGCAAGAAUGAAAAGCUAUAAAAGAGAUUGGGAGAAAAAGAAAAUCUGUAAAAGAACACUUCUUUGCUGUUUACUCAAACAUUUAUAUAUUCUACCUAUAUGCUA
rnacentral:lncRNA from 1 species